AAAGAUGAAAUCCAUAAACAAAGAACAAGUUGAUGUUUUGUUUUUUCAGAAAAAACUAUACUCAAUAUACAAAAUAGGUUGACUCACCCUUCUCUCUUUCUUUCUUUCUUUCUUUCUCCAUUCUCUGGUUCCUGUUGAGUAGCUCCACUCUAUAUGCACCUUCUACUCCUUUUUCGCUCAGUUACUCUAUUCCUUCAUAUCACUUUCUACACCUUCUUCACAUCCUUCUCUUUAUUCUGCAACCCUAUAUGGCUAAAUGCCCCAAAACGACACCCAUUCCCACCAAAACGGUGAAACCACCGUCACCACCCCACUACACCCUCCACUUCUGACGCUCCACCUUCAAGCCAUGACCUCAACCACCUCAACCUCCACCGACCCCCUCCCAUCAGACGACGGCGCGGCGGCCGUCAGGGCAGUCAACAAACGGUUCGAGGGGCUCCUCACUGUCCGGACCAAGGCCAUCAAAGGCAAGGGAGCAUGGUACUGGGCACACCUCGAGCCCAUACUCGUUCCGCACCCUGACACCGGUCUCCCCAAAUCAGUGAAACUCAAAUGCUCCCUCUGCGACUCUCUCUUCUCCGCUUCAAACCCUUCAAGAACAGCUUCCGAACACUUAAAGCGUGGAACUUGCUCCAACUUCAGCUCCGGUUUGAGACCCGGUUCUGUCCCUUCUCCCCUCCCCAUUUCCUCCAUCACUCCCGGUUCGAACCGCAAAAGGGGUUCGCCUCAAAUGGGUGCCACGUCACCCUCUUCUUAUCAAAAUCACUCCUUGGCCUUGGUCGAGUCUUCCCGCUUCGACAUGGGGUACACCCCGAUUCAGAACAGUAACAACAACAGCAAUAGUAAUAAUAAUAAUAACAACAACAUUAUGCUCUUGCAGCAUCACGGGCAGAGCCAACAGCAUUUAAUGUUGUCGGGUGGGAAGGAUGAUUUGUGUGCUUUGGCCAUGUUUGAGGACAGUGUGAAGAAGUUGAAGAGUCCCAAGACUUCUCCUGGUCCUGCUUUGAGCAAGGACCAGGUGAAUUCUGCUUUGGACUUGCUCUUCGAUUGGUUCUAUGAGACUUGUGGUUCUGUGUCCUUGUCUAGUCUGGAACAUAGAAAGUUUCAGGCUUUCUUGGGCCAGGUUGGGUUGCCCGCCAAUUUGAGGAGGGAGGUUUCUGGGGGGAGGCUUGAUGCUAGGUUCGGGGAGGCCAAGGCUGAGUCCGAGGCUAGGAUUAGGGACGCCAUGUUUUUUCAGUUGGCGAGUGAUGGGUGGAAGAGUGGGGGUUUGUUUAACUUUAACUCGUGUUGUGGUGGGGGGGAGAGUUUGGUGAAGUUUGUGGUGAAUCUCCCCAAUGGGAGUAGUGUGUUUCAGAAGGCUGUGUUCACUGGUGGAGUGGAGAAUUCUAAGUAUGCCGAGGAGGUUUUGUGGGAGACGGUUACUGCUGUUACUGGGAGUGUUGUCCACAGGUGUGUGGGGAUUGUCGCAGAUAAGUUCAAGGCGAAGGCGUUGAGGAACUUGGAGGCGCAGCACCAUUGGAUGGUGAACACUUCCUGCCAGCUUCAGGGGUUGGUUAGCUUGAUCAAGGAUUUUAACCGCGAGUUGCCGCUUUUCAGGUCUGUGAUUGAGAAUUGCUUGAAGGUUGCAAAUUUUAUGAACAGUGAGUCGCAGGUGAGGAGUCUUUUCCUCAAGUGCAGGGUGCAAGAGAUGGACUGCGGCGGCCUAAUUCGCGUGCCUUCACCCAAAUGUGAUCCGUUAAAGAAUUUUCAACUGGUGUUUCCUAUGUUGGAGGACAUUUUGAGCUGUGCCAGAGUGAUUCAGAUGGUUGUGAUGGAAGAUGGGUUUAAGGUGAUGUGCAUGGAAGAUACGCUAGUGAGGGAGGUUGCAGGGAUGGUGCAGAAUGAGGGGUUUUGGAACGAGUUGGAGGCGGUUUAUUCACUUGUGAAGCUUGUUAGAGGGAUGGUGCAUGAUGUUGAGGCUGAGAGACCAUUGAUGGGUAGGUGCUUGCCUCUUUGGGAGGAGCUGAGGAGCAAGGUGAAAGAGUGGUGUGGGAAGUUCAACAUUGUGGAAGGACCUGUGGAGAAGAUUGUUGAGAAGAGGUUUAGGAAGAAUUAUCAUCCUGCUUGGGCAGCAGCGUUUAUACUUGAUCCACUUUACUUGAUUAAGGAUGCAAGUGGAAAGUAUCUUCCUCCUUAUAAGUGUUUGACGCGAGAACAGGAGAAGGAUGUGGACAAGUUACUGACGAGGCUGGCUUCGCGAGAAGAGGCUCAUGUUGUGUUGAUGGAACUAAUGAAAUGGAGGUCAGAUGGUCUUGAUCCGCUUUAUGCACAGGCUGUUCAGAUGAAGCAGAGGGAUCCGGUGACAGGGAAGAUGAAAGUUGCAAAUCCACUGAGUAGUAGACUUGUGUGGGAAACAUGUUUGAGUGAGUUUAAAUCCUUGGGGAAGAUUGCAGUGAGGCUUAUUUUUCAGCACGCAACUUCAUGUGGGUUUAAGAGUAAUUGGUCUUUUAUGAGGAAAUUUUCAGCUAAUAAACAGUCAAGAGUUGCCUUGGAGAGGGCUCAGAAAAUGAUAUACAUUGCAGCUCAUGCCAAGCUUGAAAGGAGAGACUUUUCCAGUGAGGAAGAGAAGGAUGCAGAGCUGUUUGCCAUGUCUGGUAGUGAGGAUGGCAUGCUGGCUGAAGUUUAUGCUGAUGCUCCCUUAGUAGUUGGAAUGGCUUGAAGCAGUAGUAGGGUGGCAAAGCCAACAUGAUUUUAACGUGUGUCAACCUCGGAAGAAGAUAAGAAUCUUUGUAUCCGUAGAAGCAUUUCUCAUAGAUAAUCUGGCAUAUCUCCUGGUGUGUUUGUUUACUACAAAAUUAUUAGGCCCACAAUGGAGAGUGGAUAUCCAUGUCAAAGGGUGUCGUGGUCAAAGGAGAGUGAGAAUUAACCGUUUAGGUUGCCAUGAUUGCUAAAAAGGCCUGGAAAAAAAGGUUGAAAGAAGGAGUGUGGCCUAAAAAAAUGGAAAAGGAAGAGACCUGUCGGUAUGAGAUGUUACAUGAUAUGGUUGAGAGGUUUAUUGCAAUAUGCAGAAUAAAUGUUAUUGGAGCCAUGAACAGAAGGUUGGUGAUUCAAGGGUUCUGGUGGUGAUGAAAUUGCAUAUCAUUUUUCACCCUUCUUGUCAGUCACAUGCACAUGACACCCUUUUUGUUGUUUUUGUUGUCAUCAUACUAUAAAUUUCAUAAUAAAAUUAUGCAACUGAAAUCUGAGAUACUGUCAACCUGAUGCAAGCAGAACAGUUUCCUAGUCAAUAAUUAAUACAACUUCUCACUCUCUAUUCCGUGCAAAUA